CCAGACUCCUACGGGAGGCAGCAGUGGGGAAUAUUGGGCAAUGGGCGCAAGCCUGACCCAGCAACGCCGCGUGAAGGAAGAAGGCUUUCGGGUUGUAAACUUCUUUUAUGAGGGACGAAAGAAAUGACGGUACCCCAUGAAUAAGCCACGGCUAACUACGUGCCAGCAGCCGCGGUAAUACGUAGGUGGCAAGCGUUAUCCGGAUUUACUGGGUGUAAAGGGCGUGUAGGCGGGAGUGCAAGUCAGACGUGAAAUUCCAGGGCUCAACCCUGGAACUGCGUUUGAAACUGUUCUUCUUGAGUGAUGGAGAGGCAGGCGGAAUUCCGUGUGUAGCGGUGAAAUGCGUAGAUAUACGGAGGAACAUCAGUGGCGAAGGCGACUAUCUGGCACAUAACUGACGCUGAGGAGCGAAAGCGUGGGUAGCAAACAGGAUUAGAUACCCUAGUACA
rnacentral:rRNA from 1 species